rnacentral:rRNA from 1 species
AACGAACGCUGGCGGCAUGCCUAACACAUGCAAGUCGAACGAGACCUUCGGGUCUAGCGGCGCACGGGCGCGUAACGCGUGGGAACCUGCCCUUAGGUUCGGAAUAACUCCCCGAAAGGGGUGCUAAUACCGGAUAAUGUCUUCGGACCAAAGAUUUAUCGCCUUUGGAUGGGCCCGCGUUGGAUUAGCUAGUUGGUAGGGUAAAAGCCUACCAAGGCGACGAUCCAUAGCUGGUCUGAGAGGAUGAUCAGCCACACUGGGACUGAGACACGGCCCAGACUCCUACGGGAGGCAGCAGUGGGGAAUAUUGGACAAUGGGCGAAAGCCUGAUCCAGCAAUGCCGCGUGAGUGAUGAAGGCCUUAGGGUUGUAAAGCUCUUUUACCCGGGAUGAUAAUGACAGUACCGGGAGAAUAAGCUCCGGCUAACUCCGUG